GAUGAACGCUGGCGACGUGCCUAAUACAUGCAAGUCGAGCGAACAGACGAGGAGCUUGCUCCUCUGACGUUAGCGGCGGACGGGUGAGUAACACGUGGAUAACCUACCUAUAAGACUGGGAUAACUUCGGGAAACCGGAUCUAAUACCGGAUAAUAUCUUGAACCGCAUGGUUCAAUAGUGAAAGACGGUUUUGCUGUCACUUAUAGAUGGAUCCGCGCCGCAUUAGCUAGUUGGUAAGGUAACGGCUUACCAAGGCAACGAUGCGUAGCCGACCUGAGAGGGUGAUCGGCCACACUGGAACUGAGACACGGUCCAGACUCCUACGGGAGGCAGCAGUAGGGAAUCUUCCGCAAUGGGCGAAAGCCUGACGGAGCAACGCCGCGUGAGUGAUGAAGGUCUUCGGAUCGUAAAACUCUGUUAUUAGGGAAGAACAAAUGUGUAAGUAACUAUGCACGUCUUGACGGUAACUAAUCAGAAAGCCACGGCUAACUACGUG
rnacentral:rRNA from 1 species